rnacentral:rRNA from 1 species
UCGCCUGUUUAUCAAAAACAUAGCUAUUAGAGAUUAUUAAUAGUACCUUCUGCUCAAUGAAUAUUAAAUGGCCGCAGUACCCUGACUGUGCAAAGGUAGCAUAAUCAGUUGGCUUAUAAUUGAAGUCUUGUAUGAAUGAAUAAAUGAGGAGAAACUGUCUCAUCAAUAUUUAAUGAAAUUACUUAGCAAGUGCAAAUUCUUGUAAUAAAAUAAUAGACGAGAAGACCCUAGAAAUUUAAAAUAGAGGUAAUUUAGGUUUUUGUUGGGGCAACAAUGUAACAGAUAAUUUACAAUUAUAGACAAGAAAUUUUUUUGGAAGAUAAAAUUACUCUAGGGAUAACAGCGUAAUGCGAGAGCGAUUGCGACCUCGAUGUUGGACUAGGAAGCAAACGC